UACGUAGGGGGCAAGCGUUGUCCGGAUUUAUUGGGCGUAAAGAGCGUGUAGGCGGCCAGGCAGGUCCGUUGUGAAAACUCGAGGCUCAACCUCGAGAUGUCGAUGGAAACCGUCUGGCUAGAGUCCGGAAGAGGAGUGUGGAAUUCCUGGUGUAGCGGCGAAAUGCGCAGAUAUCAGGAGGAACACCGGUGGCGAAGGCGGAUCUCUGGGCCGAUACUGACGCUGAGGAGCGAAAGCGUGGGGAGCGAACAGG
rnacentral:rRNA from 1 species